UACGAAGGGGGCGAGCGUUGUUCGGAUUUACUGGGCGUAAAGGGCGCGCAGGCGGUCUUGAAAGUCAGGCGUGAAAGCCCCGGGCUUAACCUGGGAAUUGCGCUUGAUACUCUGAGACUGGAGUACGGGAGAGGAGAGUGGAAUUCCCAGUGUAGAGGUGAAAUUCGUAGAUAUUGGGAAGAACACCAGUGGCGAAGGCGGCUCUCUGGACCGCAACUGACGCUGAGGCGCGAAAGCGUGGGGAGCAAACAGG
rnacentral:rRNA from 1 species